CAGCCGUAAACAAUGUGCGUUAGGUGUGUCGGUAACCACGCGUUACUGAUGCGCCGAAGAGAAAUCGUGAAACGCACCACCUGGGAAGUACGGUCGCAAGGCUGAAACUUAAAGGAAUUGGCGGGGGAGCACCACAACAGGUGGAGCCUGCGGUUUAAUUGGAUUCAACGCCGGACAUCUCACCGGAUAAGACAGCGGAAUGAUUGCCGGGCUGAAGACUCUGCAUGACUAGCUGAGAGGUGGUGCAUGGCGUAGACGUCU
rnacentral:rRNA from 1 species